CUCUGAAAUUGUACUGCAAGGUUCCAUAUCACAAAGGGAAUGCUUGGAUUGAUUUUUGGGGUAAUUGCCUCAAAAUUUUAGGAAUUAGGGGCUAAAAAAGGGGCAAAAAAACAAGCAUUUUUCUAGUUUCAUGACAAUAACUUGUGUGUAAGUCUAUGGAUCUUUCUGAAAUUGUACUACAAGGUUCCAUAUCACAAAGGGAAAGCUGGAAUUGAGUUUGGGGGUAAUUGCCCAAAACAUUUAGGAAUAAGGGGCCAAAAAGGGGCCAAAAAUAAGCAUUUUUCUAGUUUCCAGACAAUAACUUGUGUUCAAGUGUAUUGAUCUCUCUGAAAUUGUACUGCAAGGUUCCAUAUCACAAAGGGAAUGUUUGGAUUGAUUUUGCGGGUAAUUGCCUCAAAAUUUUAGGAAUUAGGGGCCAAAAAAGGGGCAACAAACAAGUAUUUUUCUAGUUUCAUGACAAUAACUUGUGUGUAAGUCUAUGGAUCUUUAUGAAAUUGUACUACUAGGUUCCAUUUUACAAAGGGAAAGCUGGAAUUGAGUUUGGGGGUAAUUGCCCAAAACGUUUAAGAAUAAGGGGCCAAAAAGGGGGCCAAAAAUAAGCAUUUUUCUAGUUUCCAGACAAUAACUUGUGUUCAAGUGUAUGGAUCUCUCUGAAAUUAUACUGCAAGGUACCAUACCACAAAGGGAAGGCUGGGAUUGAUUUUUGGGGUAAUUGCCUCAAAAUUUUAGAAAAAAGGGGCAAAAAAACAAGCAUUUUUCUAGUUUCAGGACAAUAACUUGUUUGUAAGUGUAUGGAUCUUUAUGAAAUUGUACUACAAGGUUCCAUAUCACAAAGGGAAAGCUGGGUUUGAGUUUGGGGGUAAUUGCCCAAAACGUUUAGGACUAAGGGGCCAAAAAAUAAGCAUUUUUCUAGUUUCCAGACAAUAACUUGUGUUCAAGUGUAUGGAUCUCUCUGAAAUUGUACUGCAAGGUACCAUACCACAAAGGGAAGGCUGGGAUUGCUUUUGGGGGUAAUUCCCUUAAAAUUUUAGGAAUUAGGGGCCAUAAAGGGGCAAAAAAACAAGCAUUUUUCUAGUUUCGGGACAAUAACUUGUGUGUAAGUGUAUGGAACUUUAUGAAAUUGUACUGCAAGGUUCCAUAUCACAAAGGGAAAGCUAGGUUUGAGUUUGGGGGUAAUUGCCCUAAACGUUUAGGAAUUUGGGGCCAAAAAACAAGCAUU